GUUGACCUGAACUUAGAGAGUUAGGGGCACACUGACCUUCCAAAUAUUUCCAGUGCUUUUUCUUUCCCCUCUCAGGUCUGUGUUUGAGCCUGGCUGACACAUUUGAACUGGGAAUUUUAAUCACAGGAGCCACAAGGCCUAUUUAUUGCUUUGAAAAUAUGGAAAUUGUUUCUUAGAGGAAAACCUGAAUGUUCUUCUCAAAAACACAUUCAAGCACUGGUCACCACAAAGAAAGGAACAAUAAAGUAUUUAAAGAUAACAGCGACAUGCUGGUAUUAAAAUGCUGGAGCAAUAUAUGAUUUUGUCAAGAAUUUCCACAAACACAGAACAGCCAGAAAUAGUCAUCCUCACAAGGGCCUUCAAGCUUUUAUGAGAACUGAAAAAUGGCAAAAUAUUUAUUUGUUUUCUGACAAGUACCGUAAUCCCAAAAUGAGCUGGUAUGACUAGUUACCCUGGCAUUAUGGAGAGACAUUCCAUAAACUUUCCCAGAUGUUAAAUAAUGAAAAAGUCUAAAUAUGAUACAAAAGAAUAAUGGGGGAUGGAAAUAUCGGAAUGAAAUUGUGAGCCAAUCUGGACAGAUGGAGUUGUAAAUUUAAUUGGCUAUUGCUUAACUCUUAUGAUUUUUCCCCCUGAUAAUUUAUUUCUGGUGAGGAAAUGACACAGCAAGGGGUUAAGGUCAAUAUUCACCUCCAAAAAGUUGGUUAGAACCUCUGGGACUCCCACAGUAGUGGUGAAACAUCACGCAAUCCCAAAUCCCUGCCAGAGUCAGAGGCAGCUCUAGGAACCUGCCAGAACACCAGUUGGUGGGAUGACCAGCACUCUAAGGUGCCAGACUGAGGUUGUAAUUUCCCUUUUUGUGGCUUCUGCUUUGAGAAAUAGCAUAGCUUGGUUGAAAGAGCACAAAUCUGGGAGUCAGAGGACCUGGGUUCUAAUCCAAGCUCUUCUAAUUGCUUGGUCUGUGAUCUUGGGUGUAAAGCAUCUUUCUUUGAGCCGAUGCAAUGAAUAUAAACUUAAGCUAAAGUGGAACUAUCUGUCCUGAGAAACAUAAAGACUGGUGAGACCGGAUGUGGUGACCAGAGUGGUUCUCUGAUUAUGACUGUGAUUGACAGGCUUCCUAACCACUUCCACUUCAUAUGUACAGACCCCUUCCGCAAAUUGCUUCAGUGGUCCAGAAAGAUUACGUGGCUCAGGGAAGACUUCCUGUACUCUGUUCCUGGUUGCAGCAAUAAUUACUCAGUGGACAUUACUUCCGAAGAGGGGUCGCAGUGAGCAGUCGUUGCACUGGAUCAGAUGGGUUAAGACAUUCAAAGCUCUACCGGCAGGGUUGCAAGGAGCAAAAGUGUCAGCAUGCAGAAAAGAGUAAGCUCCUCAUAAGCAAAGAACAUGACACUUGUCUGUGUCAGUGGUGGCAGUGGUGGUAUUCCAGGAAGAAGAUGGUUUUACUUUCACCCCUGCUAUGGUUGUGGUCGUGGCUGUGGCUGUGGUGGAGGCAGGUCCUCUGCCUACGGGACCCUGAGUUGUGAAAAGGCUGAGAUUCUGCCCCCCUAAUCCCAGAACCUUAUUGCUCUUCCUGUAUUUUUCAUGGUUGUUUAUAGGUAUUUGGGGUUUUAUUCUUUUCAAUUUUCCCUUAUGUGUCUAUAUUUUUGUAUCUCUCCCAUUUUCCCAUUAAUUUUUAGAUCGUGAACUCCUUUGGAGGCCAGGGACCAUGUCUAAUUCUCAUCUGUAGUUCCCAGAACUAAUUCAGUGCUCUAUGUCCAGUAAACACCUAGUAAAUUCUACUACUACGAUUACUACUGCUAUGAUAAUGACUACUGCUAGUACUACUACUAUAAUAAUGCUAAUAAUUAUAGUACUUGUAAAGCACUUACUUUGUGUCAAACAUUGUAAUAAACUGUGGGGUAGA